UACGUAGGGGGCAGGCGUUAUCCGGAUUUACUGGGUGUAAAGGGAGCGCAGACGGCUGUGCAAGUCUGAUGUGAAAGGCAGGGGCUCAACUCCUGGACUGCAUUGGAAACUGUAUAGCUGGAGUGCCGGAGGGGUAAGCGGAAUUCCUAGUGUAGCGGUGAAAUGCGUAGAUAUUAUGAGGAACACCAGUGGCGAAGGCGGCUUACUGGACGGUAACUGACGUUGAGGCUCGAGAGCGUGGGGAGCAAAC
rnacentral:rRNA from 1 species